rnacentral:rRNA from 1 species
GAUGAACGCUGGCGGCGUGCCUAAUACAUGCAAGUCGAGCGAACGGACGAGAAGCUUGCUUCUCUGAUGUUAGCGGCGGACGGGUGAGUAACACGUGGAUAACCUACCUAUAAGACUGGGAUAACUUCGGGAAACCGGAGCUAAUACCGGAUAAUAUUUUGAACCGCAUGGUUCAAAAGUGAAAGACGGUCUUGCUGUCACUUAUAGAUGGAUCCGCGCUGCAUUAGCUAGUUGGUAAGGUAACGGCUUACCAAGGCAACGAUGCAUAGCCGACCUGAGAGGGUGAUCGGCCACACUGGAACUGAGACACGGUCCAGACUCCUACGGGAGGCAGCAGUAGGGAAUCUUCCGCAAUGGGCGAAAGCCUGACGGAGCAACGCCGCGUGAGUGAUGAAGGUCUUCGGAUCGUAAAACUCUGUUAUUAGGGAAGAACAUAUAUGUAAGUAACUGUGCACAUCUUGACGGUACCUAAUCAGAAAGCCACGGCUAACUACGUGCCAGCAGCCGCGGUAAUACGUAGGUGGCAAGCGUUAUCCGGAAUUAUUGGGCGUAAAGCGCGCGUAGGCGGUUUUUUAAGUCUGAUGUGAAAGCCCACGGCUCAACCGGUGGAGGGUCAUUGGAAACUGGAAAACUUGAGUGCAGAAGAGGAAAGUGGAAUUCCAUGUGUAGCGGCGAAAUGCGCAGAGAUAUGGAGGAACACCAGUGGCGAAGGCGACUUUCUGGUCUGUAACUGACGCUGAUGUGCGAAAGCGUGGGGAUCAAACAGGAUUAGAUACCCUGGUAGUCCACGCCGUAAACGAUGAGUGCUAAGUGUUAGGGGGUUUCCGCCCCUUAGUGCUGCAGCUAACGCAUUAAGCACUCCGCCUGGGGAGUACGACCGCAAGGUUGAAACUCAAAGGAAUUGACGGGGACCCGCACAAGCGGUGGAGCAUGUGGUUUAAUUCGAAGCAACGCGAAGAACCUUACCAAAUCUUGACAUCCUUUGACAACUCUAGAGAUAGAGCUUUCCCCUUCGGGGGACAAAGUGACAGGUGGUGCAUGGUUGUCGUCAGCUCGUGUCGUGAGAUGUUGGGUUAAGUCCCGCAACGAGCGCAACCCUUAAGCUUAGUUGCCAUCAUUAAGUUGGGCACUCUAAGUUGACUGCCGGUGACAAACCGGAGGAAGGUGGGGAUGACGUCAAAUCAUCAUGCCCCUUAUGAUUUGGGCUACACACGUGCUACAAUGGACAAUACAAAGGGCAGCGAAACCGCGAGGUCAAGCAAAUCCCAUAAAGUUGUUCUCAGUUCGGAUUGUAGUCUGCAACUGGACUACAUGAAGCUGGAAUCGCUAGUAUUCGUAGAUCAACAUGCUACGGUGAAUACGUUCCCGGGUCU